rnacentral:rRNA from 1 species
UACGAAGGGGGCUAGCGUUGCUCGGAAUCACUGGGCGUAAAGGGCGCGUAGGCGGACUUUUAAGUCGGAGGUGAAAUCCCAGGGCUCAACCCUGGAAUUGCCUUCGAUACUGGGAGUCUUGAGUUCGGAAGAGGUUGGUGGAACUGCGAGUGUAGAGGUGAAAUUCGUAGAUAUUCGCAAGAACACCAGUGGCGAAGGCGGCCAACUGGUCCGAUACUGACGCUGAGGCGCGAAAGCGUGGGGAGCAAACAGG